rnacentral:lncRNA from 1 species
GAGCAGAUAUGGCAGCUGCUGAUGACAGCAGACAGGAAGGACUACGAGAAGAUCUGCUUGAAGUAUGGCAUCGUCGACUACCGUGGCAUGUUGCGUAGGCUGCAGGAGAUGAAGAAGGAACAGGAGGACAAGAUGGCACAGUACAUCAACGCCCUCUCCAGCUUAAGACACAUCAGGGUCACCAAGGAUGGGAUUGCAAAGUUUGACUUGGAGCUGGAUCUCAAGGAUUCUCAGAGCAAGAUUUACCUGUAUAAGGAUGGUGAGAUGAUCCCCUAUGGCUUCAACAACCAGACCAAGCACUGUCUGCGCCGGCUGGGGAAGCGCUACGAGUUCCAGAUUCAAGACCUGAGGCCUGAGGACUCUGGCAUUUACCAGGUCAAGGUGGAGGAUGC